rnacentral:rRNA from 1 species
UAUGUGAUCGUCUCUCGCAUAUCAAUAAGCGGAGGAAAAGAAACUAACAAGGAUUCCCCUAGUAACGGCGAGUGAAGCGGGAAGAGCUCAAAUUUGAAAUCUUAAAGGGUUUCCCUUUACGAAUUGUAGUUUAAAGAAGCUGUUUUCUGUUGAGGUUUUGGUAAAAGUUCUUUGGAAUAGGACAUCAUAGAGGGUGAGAAUCCCGUAUUUGACCUUUACUUUCAACUUUGUGAUACACUUUCAAAGAGUCGGAUUGUUUGGGAAUGCAGUCCAAAAUGGGUGGUAAAUUUCAUCUAAAGCUAAAUAUUGGCGAGAGACCGAUAGCGAACAAGUACCGUGAGGGAAAGAUGAAAAGAACUUUGAAAAGAGAGUUAAACAGUACGUGAAAUUGUCAAAAGGGAAGCGUUUGACACCAGUGUUGUUUUUCUGAAAAUCAAUUAAAGAACUGUUUAUGCUAAGCUGUUUAGACUUUAUCAGCUAACUGUUUAGUUUUGAGCUUUUCUUUAAUGCACUUUUCAGUUAACAAGUCAACAUCAAUUUCUUUUGCUGUAAAAAAGCUUGAGGAAGGUGGCUUGAGAUUCGUCUUAAGUGUUUAUAGCCUCUUGCCUAUGCAGUCGGAGAGAUUGAGGUCUGCAGCGUAGAUCCUUCGGGGCUAAAUGCAUUUGUGCUAAGUUAUAGCAUUUUAUAGACAACUUGUUGACUAUGAUUUGUCUUGUAGCUUACUCGCUCAUGUUAUUUUACCUACGCUUAGGAUGUUGAACGCGCACAGAGUCUC